rnacentral:lncRNA from 1 species
GGGGCACCAAGGACUGGAGGUGUUUGGGGAGCAGAUGAAGACCAAGAGACUUGGGGGGCACGAAGGUUUGGGGGUGACGACGGAGGUCCAACCAGGUCUGGAGAUGGAGGAGCACCCAAAGGUGAAGACUUUUGGGGUGCGUCAAGGACAGGAGACGAUGGAGGAGCACCCAAAGACCGAAAGACUUGGGGUGCACCAAGGUUUGGAGAUAGAGGAGCACCCACAGACCAAGAGUUUUGGGGUGCGUCAAGGUCUGGAGAUGGAGGAGCACCCAAUGGUGAAGACUCUUGGGGCGCAUCAAGAUCUGGAGAUGUUUGGGGAGCACCCAAAGGUGAAGGUUGGGGUGCAACCAAGUCUGGAGAUGUUGGAAGAGCACCCAAAGACCAAGAGCCUUGGGGUACGUCAAGAUUCGGAGAUGACGGAGGUCCAACCAACGCCGGAGACGUUGGAGGAGGA